GCCCCGGCGGGCCUGGGCUGGAAGGGGGCGGGCCUGCCCUUCAGCCCCUCGCCUGGUCGACCCCGGAGAGUAUUUGAAGCUCGCGCUUCCUCCACCGCCCGAGCUCCAGACCCUUCUUCCCAGCGCGGCGCGACGGCCCCAAGUGGAUGGGCUGUCUCUGGUGAACACGUCCAACUCCAGAGGCUGUGACUCUGGGGACCUUCGUGACCCCAAGACAGGGUCACACACCCGUGGCAUUUGGUCGCCAAAUUCCAGCCACGAGAGCCGGAGGUCAAGGUUGGCAUGAGCGGAAGCCCAAGGGAUAGACUUGUGGGCCAGAGGCUCUGGCAGCGCAGGAAGCCCAGCCCGUGAGGAGGGGCUACAGAGCUGAGCUGCAAGCAUCCCUUAGAGCCGUGGGUUUCCAGUUGCUCAACUGGACCUAGCAGAGCUGCGGCUUCUAGGACCGUAGCCAUCAGCCUCCUGGAAGCAUCUCCGUAUACACUGAAUAAAAGGAAAUGAAAUUGAAAAACACAGCUCCCUGGUGACACUAGCCAUGUUUCAAGACGCUACUGUAUCAUUGUCAACAUCAUGGAAGGUUCUAUGGGGACGGCCGGGCACUAGAAGACUGUGGAGUCCACCUGGGAGGGGGAUGAGCAGCAUUGGAAAAGACAGUGAACAGGGUCCAGGAGCUAGAAGAGGACACAGUCCCGGCCACCUAGAGCUUGGGGACUGGUACGAUCGAAGGGACGUGAGACAAGGACCCCCAUUCAACCGACUGGCUCCAAGCUGAGCCUUGGAGAGGUGGCUGGGGACAGGAGGAAAAGACAGAGCCCCCCACGCAUUGCCAGGAUUUCUCUUUCCGUAUCCCAGCCUCCCUGCUCCCUGGGGCACACAGGUGGAUGGCGGAGGCAGCCAGUGAAGGCACCAACCGAGGGGCAGAACCUCCACAUGCCAUGGGCGCAGGCCAAAAGGAGAGAGUGAUGGAGGGAGGAAGAAACGCUGGGAGACACAACCUCCAAGUCUCAAGUGGAAACGGGGAGAGAGGCGUCAUGGGAGGGAGCAGCUCUCGAAGUCCCAGCUGGCCCCCCCUAGCUUCGCAAGGA
rnacentral:lncRNA from 1 species